CCUGAUCUAACAUUUGGUGUUCGACAAGCUGUCACAAUAACUGCUAUUAGCGCAGGCUGUGAUUUGGGUGUACGAACAUGGCGGACAGUUUGUGAUGGGACACCGCCAAUACCGUAUCCACACAUUGAGCGCAUAUAACUUUAUAGCGCCCCGAUUAGUAGCGGGCUGGGACCCGGGGAUGUAACACAGACGCUGGACACCUAGCGCUCCCUAUCUAGGGGGAAGCAAGACCUCCUUCCCGGCAUGCUUUGUGAAC